rnacentral:rRNA from 1 species
AGCGAACGCUGGCGGCAGGCCUAACACAUGCAAGUCGAACGAACCCUUCGGGGUUAGUGGCGGACGGGUGAGUAACACGUGGGAACGUGCCUUUAGGUUCGGAACAACUCAGGGAAACUUGUGCUAAUACCGAAUGUGCCCUUCGGGGGAAAGAUUUAUCGCCUUUAGAGCGGCCCGCGUCUGAUUAGCUAGUUGGUGAGGUAAUGGCUCACCAAGGCUACGAUACGUAGCUGGGCUGAGAGGAUGACCAGCCACAUUGGGACUGAGACACGGGCCUAACUCCUACGGGAGGCAGCAGUGGGGAAUUUUGCGCAAUGGGCGGAAGCCUGACGCAGCCAUGCCGCGUGGAUGAUGAAGGUCUUAGGAUUGUAAAAUCCUUUCACCGGUGAAGAUAAUGACUGUAGCCGGAGAAGAAGCCCCGGCUAACUUCGUGCCAGCCGCCGCAGUAAUAC